rnacentral:rRNA from 1 species
UACAGAGGUGGCAAGCGUUGUUCGGAAUUACUGGGCGUAAAGGGCUCGUAGGCGGCCUUCUAAGUCAGACGUGAAAUCCCCCGGCUUAACCUGGGAACUGCGUCUGAUACUGGGAGGCUUGAGUAUGGGAGAGGGAUGUAGAAUUCCAGGUGUAGCGGUGAAAUGCGUAGAUAUCUGGAGGAAUACCGGUGGCGAAGGCGGCAUCCUGGACCAUAACUGACGCUGAGGCGCGAAAGCUAGGGGAGCAAACGGG